rnacentral:lncRNA from 1 species
GGACCUCACAUCUUAAUGAAAGGAAGCAGUUAAUAAUCAAGUCUAAAAUCUGAGUGAGACUUAAGCAGUCAAGCCCAUUGCAGCACCAUGUCUGAUAGAAAAACACUAACAACGUCUAAUAACUAACAAAGAGUGACUUGACCCAUAUAUAUGUCUCCAAAUGCAGGUCACAUAUUACUACACAAGAAAACAUAUGAGGUUGCUGCUGCUUCUUCACAUAAACGAUCAUAAAUAAGAUGAGAAGGCAGACACAGCAAGCAGGAAGGCAAGACCUUCCAGCACAACUGUGAUUCCUUCAACAGUGACGGUAGUAGCAGUGUCCCUGGGGACGUACCUGCAGUCACCCAUAUUGUACUCCUUCUGUGGACAAGAGAACAUACUUGUGUGAAGUUUGGGACUGCCAACGUCAAAAAUGAAGAAUGGAACUUGAGAUCUUUGCCUGUUCCAAGUAACAGCAUGUGGUUCCUUUUCUUUGAUAAGAAAUCAGAUGAUACAAGGAAAUAAAAUAAAAAGUAGCACUUCUGUUGUAUGUUUUGUAGCAUAUCUAUAUGAAAUGCAUGAGAUCAACGAAGAUGCAAGAUGACAAGACUCACCUGCUCAUUGUGGCCAAGGCUAUUCCGUGUUCCAUCCCUUAACAUUGAAUGCACUUGAACAAUCCUUAGGAAUCCAUGUCUCAUCAUGCAUUCCAAAGAACCUGGAUAGAGCAACUGAUUGUGAACCAAACUGAUUUAUAAGAAAGAUGUUACAAAAGAUCAAUCUACUGUCUAUUGAAUACUGAUUUCUUUCUUUGUGAUCCUUGCAACAACAAAAAUCUUGACUCUACUCGUCAUCAUAGUAUAGCUUGGUCAGAGGCUACUUCCCCAACCAUCAUUAGAAACUAAACCAUCUGGGUAUGAUGAAAUCAAGGGUCCUUCUAACAUGGCAUUGUGUGAUGUUUUGUACCAGAGAACAAAAUAAAAUUUGCUGUGGCGAAAUCAGUAGCACAGAAGCAAUAAGGAAAAACAAAAAUACAAGUAAUAUGUACAGUAAUAAAGUAUGUGAUGCAAAAUGCAGUAAACAAUUACAGUCCCAUGUAGUUAUACCAGAUGAAAGAAGGAUAUAAAAAAAUAGAUCACCAAAUGAAGCUCACACAGCUAUUUGCCACCAAUUUAUCAGACAACAUUGUACAUGAAUCUGCAAUACUUACAUACAGUAGAUCAGUAGUGCUACUUUUU